GGACUACAGGGGUUUCUAAUCCUGUUUGCUCCCCACGCUUUCGCUCCUCAGCGUCAGGUCAGGCCCAGAGAACCGCCUUCGCCACCGGUGUUCCUCCCGAUAUCUGCGCAUUUCACCGCUACACCGGGAAUUCCAUUCUCCCCUACCUGCCUCUAGUCCGCCCGUAUCCACUGCAGGCCCGGGGUUGAGCCCCGGGUUUUCACAGCAGACGUAGCGAACCGCCUACGAGCUCUUUACGCCCAAUAAUUCCGGACAACGCUUGCGCCCUACGUGUUACCGCGGCUGCUGGCAC
rnacentral:rRNA from 1 species